UUCUCCAUUUUGAAAGGUAAAAACUCUGUGAAGGUGGUUUUAUAGGGUCACAAAAAGCAGACAUAAACUUAUUAAAUAGCAUUAUGUUUGAAAAGCAGAUUUAACAAAAGGGCAGCCGGAUUAUAUGGGUAUAUAUUUUUUUUCUUUUAGGACAGUGGAAUAGCAAAUGGUAAACAAAUGCUGCUCGACGCCAGCUCUGCGAGUAACUUGGCGUAACAUCCUUAUUCCUCCAAGGCACCACUACAGACUUGAGGAGCCAGAGUCUCCCCUCUUUGGAGGGAACAAGGUAGGACUUUCAACUUCAUGUGCCUUGUAGGCUCCCUAAAGAGCUGAUCAGUCCAGCCUCACUGGGGACAUCAAGGAGGACCAAAUCUCUUGAUAAGACUUGUAAAUUAGGACCGUGUGUUCAAAAUACAGAAUGACUGAAAAUAGGGAGCUGCCUUUUCAGGUGCCGUCUGGAGCCGCCCUCCCACCCUCGCUGCACCGGGUCCCUUGUGAAGUGAGUGUAAAGAAGAGCGAGCGAGCUCAGCUGUAGCCUCCCUGACAGUUCUGUUUGACAAAGAAAAUUAACAUGGGACAAGAAUAUUAACUAUGUCAGUAACUGAACAAAUGGUAUCAAGUCCCUGAUAAAGCCAAAUGUGAAACGGAUACUUUCAGGAACCUGGAUUGACAAUGCAGGACAUUUAUGUCAUUAAUAGGAACAAUGCCAUUUUUUUGCUGAACUAUCCUUACUUUUUAAGUGCUUUCCAAACCCACAGAGACAUUAUAUGCCGAUUUUCUUGACAGAAAUCAAAGCACUUCUUCUCUCAUGCAUGUAAGAUGUAAUAAUGUUGUUAUGUGUCUUCAGCAUUGCUAUUUUGAUAUUACUACCUAUUCAACAGUUUCUCAGAUCUGCUUUUAUUACUUAGCCUAGUUUUAAGCACAAGGAACAGUAAACAUUUAAGAAUGAAGAAAUGGGUAAACGUCUAUUAGACGAGCUAUACUACUGAUAUCAGGGCAAUUAGGGACACACUACAGUGCUCUAAAAAAUUUCACAUUUAUAUCUAAUGGUAUCUAUACACGGCUGCUUUGUUAUUAAGCAGGAUGAGCAGCAGGUUUGUGUGCUCCACUGUCAGCACAAGUCUUGCAAGACUGAAGUAUGUAACACCAUGCUGUAUUAUAAUUAUGAAAUUUACUGUAAAGUUGAGUUACAUUUCCAGUUUAGAAAAUCGUGAGAUCAUAACCUCUAUUCUUAGUAAAAGGAAGUUGAAGUUAGAAAUUUAAAAAAAUUAUUUAACAAUUUAUCUAAAGAAGAAACAUGGUAAGUACGGUCAGAAAGCACAACUGUCACUAGGCUCCUCUCAAAAACUGAAUGUUGCACAAAACAUGGUUACAUGUUUGUGUAGUACUGAUUUAUCUAUGGGAAGGUUUGAACAAACCAUGUUGUUCUUCAGCUUGUGGUUGUGCACGAAUCAAACAUGUCCGCUUGAUAUCUUCCCCUGAAAGUUCUCUUUGGAUAGGGGGAAUACUUAGCUUGUUUGAAUGGAGGGAAGUGUUUUAAUUGCCUUUUGGCCAGCCUUGCCUCCACAGGUCUACAUGAAACGGUGAGAGACAGUUAUGCCUACUAGUUUCAAUUUGUGCCAUGCUGAGAGGAGGAGAAGCCCCAAAUCUUGACUGACAGGGAACCAGCUAGUCCCCGAAAUGUGCUUUAAGGGAGGAAUUUGCAUUCCUUCGGAGACAGGAAUUGAACCAGGAGAGGGAGGAGGGGAAGAAGACAAAUGAGCUCAGGGCACGAAGUGCCCGGGGAAACGCUGGAUGGACUGUCAAGAGAUACAAGAGGGGAUUGAGAAGAAACGCACUGCUGGGAAAGGAAAAGGCAGGGAAGCCAAACACGCCGUAGAGAAAUAAUGACGGGAGGCAUGGGAAGGAGCGAGGUAAAAAAAUAAGGCAUCACAGUAGGAGGGCAAGGUCUGGAGAGCAGAAAGACAUGGAAGAAGGGCGGUGGAUUUCCAGGGAGGAGGAGGAAGAGGCAUCUGAAUCUGGAUCAGAUCUCUACCUGCUGAUACUACUCCUGACAGGAGAGAAAGGCAAGAGGAGAAAACUCUCCAGCUGAAAAUUUUUUAGCCCACACUGCCUACAAACGUGAAUAUGCAAAACCUGGGAAAGAGAUACAGACAGGUUACCAUGUCACCUUACACAAGGUUUCCAUCUAUUUUGGCAAUAGUAGCAGAAGCCUCUGGAAACCCAGCCAGGUCAGAUGUAACGUUGCAAGUCAUCAGUACUGAAAAGCAACGUCACAAUAAUGUUUGCUGAUCCUCAAAUAGAAAAUGGCAAAAUGGUCAUGUUUAUAUCUACUUCUUCUUCAGAAGCAAAAUACAGAGACACAAAUUUAGCGCAUGGGGAUUUUAUGUUAAAAAGAAGCAAGCAGCUACGAUGCCCAGUGGAUGUUUUUAAGAAUGCUGUCUUGGCAAGAAAAAUAACACUGUGGGUUUUUUUCCCACUUGCUGCCUGUAGCUUUACAUAAUCAGUGCAGUUUUUUACUUUUGGUAUUAACUUGUACAGAGCAUCAUAGAAAACGUGAUUGCAAGGGACCUUAAGAGGUCAUGUGGUCCAAGCCCUACCCCGUGGCAAGAUCCUGUGUUACUCCUGGAAGAUGUCCGAAUUGUUACUCUGGAAUCUGUUCUUAAAGACAGUCUGUGAAGGGCAAGGGGUCACCAUCGUCUGACUGCUGCAGGGCUCCAGAUCUUCACUGUGAAGUUUCUCCAAAUGUCUAAUCUGAAUCCUCCCCGUUGCAGCUGAACAGAUUACUGCUUCACCGUGGCUGUGGGGAAGGAGAUUAAUAUCUGUGCUUCCACAAAAGCCUGAUACACUUACGGAUCUGGGGUGAGUGAAAAUUGCCUAUCUUUCUCCGUAAUUAUUUCAGCUUGGAAAUUCUAACGAGACAGUGGUCGGAGGUAAUUGUUUAAGAAGUGCAGAAACAGCAGCUUGGAAAUAACACUAAUACUUCCUGAGGGGAACAGCUUGGCCUUUGGGUGCUCCGUAAGCCAGCUGGCUGUAACCUAUCUCAGGCCAGAAAGCCUGCGUGAAAGCAGAUCGGGUGUGAAAGAUGGCUGUUUACCGACUCAGUAAGUAACUACGCACUUCAUGACACACAGUACCCUGGAUUCUCCCUAUGAUGAAACCCAGACCUAUCAGCUGCCUAACAGUGACUACAAUACGCACUUUUUUGCGAUCACACAGACGCCAUUAAGAUACAUCCAGGAGCCAUCAGCUACUUCUGCAGUACACCACAGUAGGCUACACAAAAACUACGGGCAACAUGGUGAGAAAUUACUGCCCUGAUUAAAACUGGAGGUCCUCAAUUAGCCAGUAUGAAUGCCAGCAUGAUUUAAAGCGCCUGCUGUACCCAGCAGAUGCCUUCAUUUCAGUAAGGGACUUCACUAUCCCCCAGAUUGACUGCCUUGCCCAGCUCGCCUGCUGGAAACAAGGGGUUGUGUGUGUCACAGUUAAACACCAAAUAUACUCUCCGUGGAAAUGGAUGGCUGUUCCCAGCCCAUCCCAAGCUGUGCUUUGGUCUCUCAGCGUACAGGACUGGGAGAUGAGGAGCAGAACACACGCCCCUCCCGCCCAAACCAUUUCUCAUUCCUCUGUGUAUCCUCCCUGUGCUUCUGUGUCCUCUUGGCAGGACCUAAAAAGAUACGCAGCGGAUGUACCAGUGCACAAUUAAAUAUUACAGAUGUGUGCUACUGUUUUGGGAACGUGCCCGCUACCAAAGCCCUGCCAAUUUACAGAUUAGUGUAAGAAUACCUUAAAACUGGCAGCAGCACCAUUCCACCUGCUGUCUUUGUUAGGGAUCAGCAUCUCUAGCCCUGUCUCCACUUCAGGACACAAUAUGCAGUGAAGCAGCACCUGCUGCUCUCGUGUCUCUGAUGGGCAUAUGUAGAGGCUGGAGAGUACAUACAGGUGUUCAGAGUCCUCCUGCACGCUGCCUCAGCCAAAUGUACACUGACAGCAAUAUGAAGUUAUCUCAGAACACAGAUGUUUGGCUUUGCUGCCACUGCCUGACACGGGCACUUUAUUUUCUUUAUCAUGUGUGUUGAAUUGAAAGCUUUUUUUUUAGGCCCUGACCUUGGCAGCCGUUGCUACUGCAUUUCAUCACAAAGAUAGGAGAAGAGAAGAGGUAAAACAAAAAUAAAGAAAAAGAAGAGGGACUUACUGGAUUUUCAUGAUGCCCCUUGUAAUCCUGAAUACUUCUGCUUAUUCCUGCAGGAAUGACACUUCCCCCACGGCCCACGUUUCUCAGCUUCCUCUGCUCGGGUCCACCUGUGUGAAAGCCUGCUGUGUCAUCCACGAGAUCCUUCCUGCGUAUUUGCCACUCAGUGAAAUACAACCUUUUACAACUCCAAAAAAAUACCCACUCAGACUUUUUGUUGGGGGUGUAAAAGACCACGCAGACAUGCUUUUACUUAGAAAAGAAGAAAGGAAAAAAUACUGAGCAGUGAUGACAGAUUCCUUGUCAGUAUUUGAUGCAGAACAACAUCAAUCUAAUGAGCAAAUGGGAUGAAAAAUCUAGUUUUUGAUGCAAAUCUACAAAAUUGUGGCUGUCUGAGUUACAGCUUUCUUGACGAGAGUGAAAUGUUGUCUAUUAUUUCAAUAUAUAAAACUGAAAUUCAAAAUAAUGAAUUUAAAAUUAUUCAGACCGAAUGUUUAGAAGACAGACAGAGGAAGACAGCAUGGGAAACAAAAAGUAUGUUGCUGUUUUUUUUGUUAUCAUGGGUCACCUUUAGAGUUACUUCAUUAGUCUCUAGAAAUACGUCAAAUGGUACUGUAAAACUACAAGGCAUCUGACUUCAUUUUAUGUACUUAC